GUGCCAGCGCCGCGGUAAUACCGGCAGCCCGAGUGAUGGCCGAUCUUAUUGGGCCUAAAGCGUCCGUAGCUGGCUGCACAAGUCCGUCGGGAAAUCCGCCCGCUCAACGGGCGGCCGUCCGGCGGAACCUGUGUGGCUUGGGACCGGGAGGCCUGACGGGUACGUCCGGGGUAGGAGUGAAAUCCCGUAAUCCUGGACGGACCGCCGAUGGCGAAAGCACGUCGCGAAGACGGAUCCGACAGUGAGGGACGAAAGCUAGGGUCUCGAACCGGAUUAGAAACCCUAGUAGUCC
rnacentral:rRNA from 1 species